GCUGGGCGUGGUGGUGCACACCCAUAAUCCCAGUUACUUGGGAGGCUGAGGUGGGAGGAUUGCUUGAGACUGGGAGCUGGAGGUUGCAGUGAGCUGAGAUCCAGCCACUGCACUCCAGCCUGGGCGAAAGAGCAAGAUCCUGUCUCAA
rnacentral:sRNA from 1 species